ACUUCUCAAUCAACCACCAGGCCAGGCCACCAUUCUCUGUUUUUAAUAGUUGUGUGAAUGCACAAUGGGGCUUGGUCUGACUUUUGUGAUCGAGUCUCAGCCUUAUCUGAAUGCUAUUUUGAUGCCACUUGGGCUUAAAGUGAUGUGCUUCAAGGCCUGCACACACUACCCAACUCUCUUUGAUCAUUUCCAGAGGGAGCUUCGGGAGGUUCUCCAGGACCUUCAGAGUAAGUCCUUGCUCCAAGACUGGUGCCAACCGCAGUCUUGGAAGCAACUUAAAACUCUCACCAAUUCAGGUAGUUUUUACAUUAUAGAGAUUAACCUGUAUACAACUUUCAUUUGGUAACUAACUUUGUCAAUUUCAUAAUAAAAUAUGUGCCAUUAUGGUUAGAGUCAUACCUUGCCUUGAGAUAAGGCCUGGACAGUUUUUGUAAGAGUUUGGACUUAUUACAAAGGUUUGUUCUUGUAAUGUCUGCAAAGAGAUAUCAGUUGGCUUGUAAAAGUUGUUAACUUGGUUAUCAAAUUUCUAUAUUUGUGUUUCACUUGCUAUUUCAUGCCAUGAAUAAUUUUUGCCCUCUUUCGCUGCAAAGUAUUGCAACAGAAAUGCAGAGUAAGUCUAAAUGGAAGCAGAUGGGAGAAUUAGCUAUGUAUAAUGGAAGGUUAGAUAUGGCUGAGGAUUGUUUGAAUCAUGUGAUGGAUUUGAGCGAGUUAUUACCGUUGUAUGCUUCUUUAGGAGAAGCUGAAGAAGCUGAAGGAAUAUCAAAGUUUGUUUUUUUGGCUAGUUGUAAAAAAAUUAGGUAGCUUUGUGGAGAAAUUAUUUUUUUACUAUAACAGUGAAGAUUGUGGGGGUUAUAAACAUUUGCUAUUUUUUUAAAAAAAAUGCAUGCUGAAUUGCGGCGGUUCCUGACCGCCACAACUUUUUUUUAAAAACCUGUUCUUCAAAUAGCGGCGGUUUAAAACCGUCGCAAAUAAAUCAUUCCAUUUAACCGCCGCUAAAACAAUUGCCCACGCCACUAUCCAGGGCGGUUUACUUAACCGCCGGUCUUUGAUUUUGCGGCGGUUUAAAACCGCCGCUAAUAAUAAAAAAAACUGCCGCAAUGUCCGUACUCUCUUGUAGUGGUUGCCAUCAUCCUUCACAACAUUCAAGUGGGCAAAAUUCAUAUCCCUUAGCUUUCUAACCCCACUUGAAUAUGGGCUACUGGAAACGGAUGAUAAACUUAGAGCUCUUUGUGGCAUUAAGAGUAAGAGGAAGAUGGUCAGUGGUAAGAAUUAUCCUGCAAGGUUCAUCAUGGUUGGAAGCUUUAAGUUUAAACGCAAAAGUUGGUGUAAAGCUCAACUGAAUAGGUCUAGGAAGCUGUUUGGUAGCUGCAGUGAGAAUUCAAAUUACUUAUCACCCAGCUGGAAAGAUACAGAUCCCGACACAAAAUGGGUGUAAAAGCAAGAUUUGGGAUCCUGGAAUCUGCUAUGACAUUUGUCACUCUGGGAGCCUAAGAAUCUGUUUGAAGCUUCUUAAGGGCUUUACAUGCCUAGUUUGGGACCCCGGAGGUUACUGGAGAUACAAACAUUGGUGGAGAUUCCUGGAUGAGUUCAAGCACAAGCCAUCAUAACAGGGAACCACCAAAUGUCAAA